GGUGAAGCCGUUGGGGCGGGGCCUCGGCUGGGCAGUUUUUUGAGGCCGCGAUUUCACAUCGGAAACAAAACAGCGGCUGCUCGGGAAGGAACCUUGGUUGCGACCGGCCGGUGGCGGCGGCGAGGAAAGCGUAGAUAUAACCUGGGAGCCUGCAAGUGACAACAGCCUGUGAGGUCCUUAGACAGCGUGGCCUGCCUGGAGAAGAACACAUGAAAAAAAGAACCCCAAGAGGCUUUGUCGUCUGUGAAAAAGUAUUUCUGUACAGUUGCUUCAAUGACAGAGUUACCUGCACCCUUAUCCUACUUCCAGAAUGCACAGAUGUCUGAGGACAACCACCUGAGCAAUACGAAUGACAAUAGAGAACGCCAUGAACACAGCAGCAGCGAAAGGCGGAGGCAUGGUAACCCAGAGCCUUUAUCUAAUGGACGACCCCAGGGUAACUCCCAGCAGGUGGUGGAACAAGAUGAAGAAGAUGAUGAGGAGCUGACAUUGAAAUAUGGUGCCAAACAUGUGAUCAUGCUCUUUGUCCCUGUGACUCUCUGUAUGGUUGUGGUCGUGGCUACCAUCAAAUCAGUCAGCUUUUAUACCCGGAAAGAUGGGCAGCUAAUCUAUACCCCAUUCACAGAGGACACCGAGACCGUGGGGCAGAGAGCCCUGCACUCAGUUCUGAAUGCUGCUAUCAUGAUCAGCGUCAUUGUUGUCAUGACUGUUCUCCUGGUGGUUCUGUAUAAAUACAGGUGCUAUAAGGUUAUCCAUGCCUGGCUUAUUAUUUCAUCUCUGUUGUUGCUGUUCUUUUUUUCAUUCAUUUACUUGGGGGAAGUGUUUAAAACCUACAACGUUGCCAUGGACUACAUUACUGUUGCACUUCUGAUCUGGAAUUUUGGUGUGGUGGGAAUGAUUGCCAUUCACUGGAAAGGUCCGCUGCGACUCCAGCAGGCAUAUCUCAUUAUGAUCAGUGCCCUCAUGGCCCUAGUGUUUAUCAAGUACCUCCCAGAAUGGACUGCGUGGCUCAUCUUGGCUGUGAUUUCAGUAUAUGAUUUGGUAGCUGUUUUGUGUCCAAAAGGCCCACUUCGUAUGCUGGUUGAAACAGCUCAGGAGAGAAAUGAAACUCUCUUUCCUGCUCUCAUUUACUCCUCGACAAUGGUGUGGUUGGUGAAUAUGGCAGAAGGAGACCCAGAAGCCCAAAGGAAGGUAUCCAGAAACUCCAAUUAUAAUGCACAAAGCACAGAAAGUGAAUCACAAGACCCUGUGACAGAGAGUGACGAUGGCGGCUUCAGUGAAGAAUGGGAAGCCCAGAGGGACAGUCGCCUAGGGCCUCAUCAUUCUACAACUGAGUCACGAGCUGCUGUCCAGGACAUUUCCAGCAGCAUCCUAGCCAGUGAGGACCCAGAAGAAAGUAGGGGGAGUGAAACUUGGUUUAGGAGAUUUCAUAUUCUACAGUGUUUUGGUUGGUAAAGCUUCUGCAACAGCCAGUGGAGACUGGAAUACGACCAUAGCCUGUUUUGUAGCCAUAUUAAUUGGUUUGUGCCUUACAUUAUUACUCCUCGCCAUUUUCAAGAAAGCAUUGCCAGCUCUUCCAAUCUCUAUCACCUUUGGGCUCGUUUUCUACUUUGCCACAGAUUAUCUUGUGCAGCCCUUUAUGGACCAAUUAGCAUUCCAUCAGUUUUAUAUCUAGCAUUAUUUGCAAUUAGAAUCCCAUGGAUUUUUCUCCUUUGACUAUGAUAAAAUAUGGGGAGGACAAAGGUGAUUUUCCUCUGCCCACAUCUAACAAAGUCAAGAUUCCCAGCUGGACUUCUCUUGCAGCUUCCUUCCAAGUCUUCCUGACCACCUGCACUAUUGGGCAUUGGAAGGAGGGAGCUGUCUACAGAAAACGGUUUUGAAUGUAUGUCGUCAUGGUGGACUGAAUCCCUCAGUGCAGAAACUACCAGAUUUGAGGACAAGAACAAGGACAAAGGAUGGGCCCAGAAGUUGUUCUGCUCCCACUAGUGGCUGGACCCUUGGUCACAGGUGGACUUUACCAACACUGCAGACUCUCAGGACUACCAUUACCAAGAGGCUAAAUGAAGUGGUUUCAACCAAACAGGACUCUUCCUCUUACAACUACAUGUUGAAAAUCAACCUAAUAAAUCUGUAUUGAAUUCUGAACCUUUUCAGAGGUACUGUCAGGAUAGCAGGCACCAGGAGCAAUGUAGAAAGGUGAAGAGGAGCUUUAACUCUCACUCUCAGACUUUGCUGCUGCAGACUUACCAUUUUUAAAUCAGACUUUUUUUUUCACCUUGAGUCAAGUCAGAUGUGUAGGUUGAUUUUGAUGGUUUUUGUUCUCAGGCACUGAAACUCAUUACCAUCUCUGGUUGCCAUUUCUUCCCAAGGCCAGUCUAAACUUACUUGAGGUUGCUUUUUCUUUUAAAGUCUUAACCUCAGGUUCCAAAUUCAGUACUUUCUGGAAAUAAUGAAACAAUUCCCUAUCAACCUUAGGUAAAUUCUGUAUUUUCCACCAAGUUUCUAAUUUCUAGACAUGUUUAUAGGCUCACUUGCCCCCAGAUGCUUCUGUUGUUUCCCAUCCCUCCCUUCCCUCUGCCCAUUAGCAGUUCUCUUAUACAGCAAAUAAGACAGCUCUGCUGUGACAGCAGACGAUCCGGUUAUUCGAGGAUUUUACUCUGUGUGAAACAAAGAACGUGUUAUGAGUCAGUGCCAUCAGCCUUGCUGUUGUAAUAUCUCCACCAGCAAAUAAGAUGUGCCCAAAGACAGUAGAAUUAAAGAAGAGUAAAAUGGC